rnacentral:lncRNA from 1 species
AGAUAGACAAGAAAAUACAACUUCCACAGAGAAGACUGAUUCUAUAGUUAAUGCAUCGGAAACAGAUGAGGGAUCAGGUAUUGGGUCUGCAACUGCACCUAUUGGGAAUACUGAUUCAGAUGAUAACACAGUGGAACCUGAGGGAAAAGAAGGCCUUGAGCGUACCGAUGGUACAAGCUUGUCAGCACGGAUAACACAGUGGAACCUGAGGGAAAAGCAGGCCUUGAGCGUGUCAAUGGUACAAGCUUGUCAGAAUCUUCAGCAGAUUGCAUUACAGAAUCAGAAACCCAACUUGGGAAGAGUAGUUCAUCAGAUUAUUUGACCACUUCAGUGCAACAUUUCA